AGAGCUAAUACGUGCAACAAACCCCGACUUUUGGGAGGGGCGCAUUUAUUAGAUAAAAGGCUGACGUGGGCUCUGCUCGCUGAUCCGAUGAUUCAUGAUAACUCGACGGAUCGCAUGGCCUUAGUGCCGGCGACGCAUCAUUCAAAUUUCUGCCCUAUCAACUUUCGAUGGUAGGAUAGGGGCCUACCAUGGUGGUGACGGGUGACGGAGAAUUAGGGUUCGAUUC
rnacentral:ncRNA from 1 species